ACUCGUUGGUCACUAUCAGGCGUUAGUUUUUUUUUCAAUUUGCAUUUAGAAGUGAUUUCUGUAAUUUAAAAUGUCAAUCAACUAUGGCCCCUACUAUGCUAUAUAAGAAAGCCGUUUGCCUUGGGCAUAGCAGUAAAAAAGAUAUUUGACAUGCAUUCGAGCGCUACAAGAGUAGUGCUCACCUUGGUGAGCAUAUUUUCUGUAACAAUUUUCGCUAUGGAGGGUUCAGUUAUAUUGGACUACAACACGCGCCUUGUUAGGACAAAGCAAUGCAUAAUAUUUGCCUGCUCUGAGCAUGAUAUGUAUUUCAACGUUCUAGCACUCAUGGCCGCCAAUCAAUUUGUUCAACCGGUCCAUAUGAAUAGCUCCUAUGACUUGGUGUCAAUUUUAACAAGAGAAAACUAUGCGCGAACAUCUGUGAUUGUGGACACGACCUGUGAAGGCGCUCCUAAACUGCUAAAAGAGGCGUCUGCGAAUAGAUAUUUUAAUAAAACCUAUCAGUGGCUACUGUGGGGCGUUGAGGCGAACAUCACUGAUUUGCUACCAAUCGAUUUAGAUUAUGUUGGCCCAAAUGCACAACUCACAUAUGUGAAUAAAACAAGCGACGCCUAUUUCCUUUGGGAUGUGCAUUCAAAGGGCCGUCAACUGAAAUCACCACUAGAAUUGCGUUUGAUAGCAAAACUAUCAACGGAGCUACAGAAAUUGGUUAUAAUUAACGAGAUAUUCGAUCUGCAGAGCAUCAAAUAUCGCAGUCAAUUCAAUGGCUUGACUCUGCGAGGCGCAAGUGUUAUCGAUCAGGAGGACAUUUUGACGAAUCAACAAAUUGAAGCCAUACUGUCGAGGCCCACAAAGGAUGCGGGUGUGGCAGCAUUUAUCAAAUAUCAUUAUGAACUGUUGAGCAUGCUGCGAGAUCUCUUUAACUUCACCGUCAACUUUCGCAAUUCGAGAGGUUGGGCAGGCCGAUUGGGCAACACAACUUUUCGACUCGGCUUGCUGGGCAUUAUAAAGCGCAAUGAAGCAGAUAUUGCAGCAUCUGGAGCAUUCAAUCGUAUAAAUCGUUUCGCCGAGUUCGAUACAAUUCAUCAGAGUUGGAAGUUUGAGACAGCUUUCCUAUUUCGAUUUACGCCCGAUUUGGAUACGCGUGGCAAAAGUGGAAAUUUUCUAGCACCCUUCAGCAGGCAGGUGUGGCUCUUCACCGUGGCUACUUUAAUUGGCAUUAACAGCAUUUGGCUACUGCUGGACUAUCUAAGCAAAAGAUGGCAUUCUCAAGCAAUGCAAUGUAUUGAGGAACGAAUUUUUAAUAUAAGGAACAGCAGAAAUUUGAGUUCUCAUCCAGCAAUUACGAAUUCUCACAGCAAGUGGACAGAACGUAUCCUACUCACCUUUGGUGCUGUUUGCCAACAGGGAAUGGAACCAAUUCCCAGGGAUAUACCGUCACGUUCCAUUGUCCUUACAGUUUUUCUUUUCUCCGUCGUAAUGUACAACUAUUACACCUCAUCUGUCGUUGGUGGACUGUUGAGCUCCUCGGAUCUAGGGCCAGCUACCGUGGAUGAAAUAACUAAUAGUCCACUUAAAGUAUCGUUUGAAGAUAUAGGAUACUAUAAAGUUUUAUUUAAAGAAAGUUCCAAUCCAAUUGUGACUCGUUUGAUAAGCAAGAAACUGUCUGCAUCUAGAGGUCCCAAUGAAAUGGGUGUGUAUGGUCAAAUAGAGGAUGCGAUUCCAUAUCUAAAGAGGGGUGGAUUUGCAUUUCACUGCGAAGUGGUUGACGCUUAUCCCAUAAUAGCCGAGUUGUUUGACGCCAAUGAAAUAUGUGAUCUACGCGAGGUGUCUGGUCUAAUGGAGGUGGAAAUUAUGAAUUGGAUUGUCCAUAAAAAUAGUCAAUAUACCGAACUCUUUAGAACAGCUAUGUGUAAAGCUCGGGAAGUUGGGCUGGUCGAAAGACUACUGCGACAGCGUCAAAUGAAGAAACCGGAAUGUCAGUCUCUAUACACUGUCUAUCCAGUGACUAUAACGGGUGUUUCUUCAGCAUUCCUUACGCUGUUAAGUGGAGUCUUAAUCGCAUUAUUUGCAUUAUGCCUGGAAAUAGCAUCGGUCAAAUGGCAAAUACGAAGAAAUCGCCUCUCCCACAGACACGGCGCACUGGCACUCGCACACAAACACAUACACCUGAAUAUGCUUGCAGACGUACAUAUAUGAAUGUAUGUAGGUCUGCGAGUUGUAUGUGCAUAUUUUACAAGUGGUACAAGGAGUAUACACACUUGAAACCCAUAAUUAAUAUAUGUAUAUGUAUACGCAUACAUACAUAUGUAAGCCGUUAAAUGACUGUGGACAAACGACACGCAUACUCAUAUAAAUGGAGAUACGUACAUACAUGAAUGCAUACUUACAAAUAGACAUACACGUGUCCACAAAGAAAUAGCUAUACAGGAUCAAGCCUAAUAUAUACAUAUAGCUAUCGCAAUACCUAAUUUGGCCUUGGAUGUAACUAUGAUGCUAAUGCUUAAAGAUAUAAAAAAAUUACUUUCAAGCACAAAAGAAAUGCUGAUUUUUAAUUAUAAAAGAAUUUUGUUUUUGAAAUAUCUUGCAAAGGAUUAUUCAUUUUAAUUAACAUAAACAUGUUCAGAAAGAGAGAAAGUUUCACAGCAUACCCAAAAUGUGCGUCGCCUACUAACAGAGUGCUAUAAAAAACAGCCGGUGGUGCUGUAAAGCUCGUUAUUAGUUCUUGAAAUAUUGCUAUGGGAGAGACUGGAAUCAAAAAUUGUUGUUUAUUUUCCAAAGAUAUUCCAAUUGUAACAUUUAAAAAAACUUAAAAUGACUUUAACUCAUAUAUUUGUUUAUAUAUGAAGUCCUGUGAAUAAAAAUUACACUUUUUUGCCUAGUUUUUCAA